rnacentral:rRNA from 1 species
UACGAAGGGGGCUAGCGUUGUUCGGAAUUACUGGGCGUAAAGCGCGCGCAGGCGGUCUUCCAAGUCAGUGGUGAAAGCCCGGAGCUCAACUCCGGAACUGCCAUUGAAACUGUUAGACUUGAGGAUGAGAGAGGUGAGUGGAAUUCCCCAGUGUAGAGGUGAAAAUUCGUAGAUAUUGGGAAGAACACCAGUGGCGAAGGCGGCUCACUGGCUCAUUACUGACGCUCAGGCGCGUAGCGUGGGGGAUCAAACAGG